AGCAGCCGCGGUAAUUCCAGCUCCAAUAGCGUAUAUUAAAGUUGCUGCAGUUAAAAAGCUCGUAGUUGAAUUUCGGGACCAUCAUGUCGGUCGUGCCUCGGUACGUACUGGCAUUGUUGGUUUCUACCUUCUGACGAACCAUGAUGUCAUUUAUUUGGUGUCGUGGGAAAUCAGGACUGUUACUUUGAAAAAUUAGAGUGUUUAAAGCAGGCUCACGCUUGAAUACAUUAGCAUGGAAUAAUGAAAUAGGACGUUUGAUUCUAUUUUGUUGGUUUCUAGGAUCGACGUAAUGAUUAAUAGGGAUAGUUGGGGGCAUUAGUAUUCAAUUGUCAGAGGUGAAAUUCUUGGAUUUAUUGAAGACUAACUACUGCGAAAGCAUUUGCCAAGGAUGUUUUCAUUAAUCAAGAACGAAAGUUAGGGGAUCGAAGACGAUCAGAUACCGUCGUAGUCUUAACUAUAAACUAUGCCGACUAGGGAUCGGAUGAUGUUAAUUUUUAAUGA
rnacentral:rRNA from 1 species